rnacentral:lncRNA from 1 species
CAAAUUACGAAAUGGAACUCAGAAUUUUGUACCAUCUAAUACUAAAAAUAUCAAGAAUAAUGAUACACAACUCAUUAAAUGGCAAAAAUAACUGCUUAAAUAGUCACAACAACAGGGGUAGUAGCUUAAGAUGGUUCGCAAAUAGUUUGUCUGACACUAGUUUCUUCAUUUAAAGACUUGGGAUUAGCUAUGGUUCAUAAGCUCCAAGAAAUGGUGUUCAGAAAACUCAUAAAAAGGCAAAAA